rnacentral:rRNA from 1 species
AUUGAACGCUGGCGGCAGGCCUAACACAUGCAAGUCGAGCGGAUCGGCGGCCGGGUGAGUAAUACCUAGGAAUCUGCCUGUUACUGGUGGAUAACGUUCGGAACUGGGCGCUAAUGCCGCAUACUAUCAGAUUAGCCUAGGUCGGAGUAGCUAGUUGUUGGGGUAAAGGCCUACCAAGGCGACGAUCCCUAACUGGUCUGAGAGGAUGAUCAGUCACACUGGAACUGAGACACGGUCCAGACUCCUACGGGAGGCAGCAGUGGGGAAUAUUGGACAAUGGGCGAAAGCCUGAUGCAGCCAUGCCGCGUGUAUGAAGAAGGUCUUCGGAUUGUAAAGCACUUUAAGUUGGGAGGCGUUACCAACAGAAUAAGCACCGGCUAACUUCGUGCCAGCAGCCGCGGUAAUAC